UACGUAGGCAGCGAGCGUUGUUCGGAAUUACUGGGCGUAAAGAGUGUGUAGGUGGUGCUCUAAGUUUGGUGUGAAAUCUCCCGGCUCAACCGGGAGGGUGCAUCGAAAACUGGAGUGCUAGAGGAUGGGAGAGGCAAGCGGAAUUCCUGGAUGUAGCGGUGAAAUGCGUAGAUAUCAGGAGGAACACCUGUGGUGUAGACAGCUUGCUGGACCAUUUCUGACACUGAGACACGAAAGCGUGGGUAGCAAACAGG
rnacentral:rRNA from 1 species